rnacentral:rRNA from 1 species
UACGUAGGGACCAAGCGUUGUUCGGAUUUACUGGGCGUAAAGGGCGCGUAGGCGGCGCUGUAAGUCACUUGUGAAAUCUCCGGGCUUAACUCGGAACGGUCAAGUGAUACUGCAGUGCUAGAGUGCAGAAAGGGCAAUCGGAAUUCUUGGUGUAGCGGUGAAAUGCGUAGAUAUCAAGAGGAACACCUGAGGCGAAGGCGGGUUGCUAGGCUGACACUGACGAUGAAAGCGCGAAAGCCAGGGGAGCAAACGGG